ACUCAGCUACCCCAGUGCAUCAUUCAACGAAGAACGUACAAGUCGAACGUUUACACGGUAAACUAAUUGAGUUAGUUUAAAGUUUAGCAGUUCAGAACAAAACCGCGCCAAGUAAAGAAAUUUAUAACGCCGUCCUCCAAUACAAUAGAACUAUUCACUCAUCAACAGACUAUAUACCCGAGCACGUAUUUUUCAACGGAGAAAAAUAUCCCGACAUCGGGGAUAUUCUUCAACAAAAACGAAUUAAGCAAAACAGACCGUAGAAAUAAACUCGCCUCAAAAUAUAGCAGACACAAAGUGAAGGAAGAUGGCGAGCAGAAAACGUAUAUCAUAGAAGUUUCUCGGCGCGGUGAAAGGAAAAUAUUUUGGCUACAAAACAAAAUGCGAUGAGCGUGUUUCACCACAACAAGCUCAGAAGGAGAAAUAUUGACAGUGGCGCGUGAACAGAGCUGAGCAUUCAAUAAAAAUUAUGCUCAGAAAUAUACAUUGCUUUUACAAACGCUAUUGCAUAGCUUCUAUCGCAGGCCUUGAGCGCGGGGACCGAAUCCAGAAAUUCCGCAACGAAAAAACCUAACGCAACCCACUCAGACAUGACACAUGCAUAUGUACAUAUAUUAUUUCUUUGGCACAUUUGUCUGUAUGUUUACUAAAGCAAAUGCGAGCCAUAU